rnacentral:rRNA from 1 species
GAUGAACGCUGGCGGCGUGCCUAAUACAUGCAAGUCGAGCGGACGGACGAGAAGCUUGCUUCUCUGAUGUUAGCGGCGGACGGGUGAGUAACACGUGGAUAACCUACCUAUAAGACUGGGAUAACUUCGGGAAACCGGAGAUAAUACCGGAGAAUAUUCUGAACCGCAUGGUUGAAAGGUGAAAGACGGUCUUGCGGUCACUUAUAGCUGGAUCCGAGCUGCAUGAGCUAGUUGGUACGGUAACGGCUUACCACGGCAAGGAUGCAUAUCCGACCUGAGAGGGUGGUCGGCCACCCGGGAACGGAGCCACGGUCCAGACUACUGCGGGAGGCAGCAGUCGGGAAUCUUACGCAAUGGGCGAGAGCCUGACGGAGCAACGCCGCGUGAGUGAUGAAGGUGCUCCGUUCGUAAUACUCUGUUAUUGGUGGAAAACCUAUGUGUAAGUAACUGUGCAGAUCUUGACGGUACCUAAUAAGAAAGCCCCGGCUAACUACGUG